GCUGCAACUCGCCUGCAUGAAGUCGGAAUUGCUAGUAAUCGCGGAUCAGCAUGCCGCGGUGAAUACGUUCUCGGGCCUUGUACACACCGCCCGUCACACCAUGGGAGUCGGUAACACCCGAAGUCUGUAGCCUGACGCAAGAGGGCGCAGCCGAAGGUGGGAUUGAUGACUGGGGUGAAGUCGUAACAAGGUAGC
rnacentral:rRNA from 1 species